rnacentral:misc_RNA from 1 species
GAUGAAGAACGUAGUGAAAUGCGAUAAGUAGUGUGAAUUGCAGAAUUCAGUGAAUCAUCGAAUCUUUGAACGCACAUUGCGCCCCUUGGUAUUCCAUGGGGCAUGCCUGUUCGAGCGUCAUUUGUACCUUCAAGCUUUGCUUGGUGUUGGGUGUUUGUCUCGCCUUUGCGUGUAGACUCGCCUUAAAAUAAUUGGCAGCCGGCGUAUUGAUUUCGGAGCGCAGUACAUCUCGCGCUUUGCACUCAUAACGACAGCGUCCAAAAGUACAUUUUACACUCUUGACCUCGGAUCAGGUAGGGAUACCCGCUGAACUUAAGCAUAUCAUAAGCGGAGGA